GGGCGUAAGCGCACGCAGGCGGUCUGUCAAGUCGGAUGUGAAAUCCCCGGGCUCAACCUGGGAACUGCAUCCGAAACUGGCAGGCUUGAGUCUUGUAGAGGGGGGUAGAAUUCCAGGUGUAGCGGUGAAAUGCGUAGAGAUCUGGAGGAAUACCGGUGGCGAAGGCGGCCCCCUGGACAAAGACUGACGCUCAGGUGCGAAAGCGUGGGGAGCAAACAGGAUUAGAUACC
rnacentral:rRNA from 1 species